CUCGGAAGCUGUGAAAUGUGUAGUGCAAUAAGAGUGGGAAAAAUAUCAAUAUCUCUUGUGUUUAUUGACCAUAUUUUUGAAGCUGGUAGUCGAGGUGCGUCAAAAGAGUUCAAAAUUGUACUGCAUAGACCUUACUGCCUCAUGUUUGCAGGAACAAAGUCCUAACCUUGUUGUUCUGAGUUCACCUCACAAUAGCAUUCUCGAGGGGUUCAACAUAAAAGAGCAGUCUGCUGCACGAAGUAUCUUGCAUUAACAUUGGUCUGGAGAAGGACCGCACGACAAGAGAGUGUAAUGUAGGGAGCUCAAUCCUGAUACAGGUUAAUUCUACGACACAAACUUGUGACCUAUAGGUGUCACAAACAGACAACUUUACUGUUACACAUAUCUCCUACCACAACAGAGAGAAGGAUCAUCAUAAUGAGUUGUCUUUUUGUUUGUUUGUGUAUGUGAUCCAUAUUAUGUAUAUGACAUAAAGAAAGAAUCUGUUUUGCCCAUGAUAUAUAUAUUUUAUUAAUGAUAAAUUUAGUUGAG
rnacentral:misc_RNA from 1 species